rnacentral:rRNA from 1 species
UGGGGAAUAUUGCACAAUGGGCGAAAGCCUGAUGCAGCAACGCCGCGUGCGGGAUGACGGCCUUCGGGUUGUAAAACCGCUUUCAGCAGGGACGAAGGUUUUCUGACGGUACCUGCAGAAGAAGCACCGGCUAACUACGUGCCAGCAGCCGCGGUGAUACGUAGGGUGCGAGCGUUGUCCGGAAUUAUUGGGCGUAAAGAGCUUGUAGGCGGUCCGUUGCGUCGGAAGUGAAAACUCAGGGCUUAACCCUGAGCCUGCUUUCGAUACGGGCGGACUUGAGGGAUGUAGGGGAGAACGGAAUUCCUGGUGGAGCGGUGGAAUGCGCAGAUAUCAGGAGGAACACCAGUGGCGAAGGCGGUUCUCUGGACAUUUCCUGACGCUGAGAAGCGAAAGCGUGGGGAGCAAACAGGCUUAGAUACCCUGGUAGUCCACGCCGUAAACGGUGGGCACUAGGUGUGGGACCCAUUCCACGGGUUCCGUGCCGUAGCUAACGCAUUAAGUGCCCGCCUGGGGAGUACGGCCGCAAGGCUAAAACUCAAAUGAAUUG